CUUGAGGCAGUGAGAGAUGAUGAGGAGAAUACACAUCCUCUUUGAAGGCAUCAGCCAUAGAGGAGCUUAUAGAGUCUUCAGGAAAGAUUACCAGCAUCCCAUUUGUCAUUGGCAACGAGAUUUCACGCUAAAUUGUAAAGCUAAAGAGGUACUAUGUCUCAAAUCGCCGUUCUUAAUUCUUCACAAUGAACUAUGAAAACCAUCAUAUCUGGUCCAGAUCCCUGCAUAACCUC